rnacentral:rRNA from 1 species
CCUACGGGCGGCAGCAGUGAGGAAUAUUGGUCAAUGGACGAGAGUCUGAACCAGCCAAGUAGCGUGAAGGAUGCCUGCCCUAUGGGUUGUAAACUUCUUUUAUAUGGGAAUAAAACGUUCCACGUGUGGGAUUUUGUAUGUACCAUAUGAAUAAGGAUCGGCUAACUCCGUGCCAGCAGCCGCGGUAAUACGGAGGAUCCGACCGUUAUCCGGAUUUAUUGGGUUUAAAGGGGGCGUAGGUGGAUUGUUAAGUCAGUUGUGAAAGUUUGCGGCUCAACCGUAAAAUUGCAGUUGAAACUGGCAGUCUUGAGUACAGUAGAGGUGGGCGGAAUUCGUGGUGUAGCGGUGAAAUGCUUAGAUAUCACGAAGAACUCCGAUUGCGAAGGCAGUUCACUGGACUGCAACUGACACUGAGGCUCGAAAGUGUGGGUAUCAAACAGGAUUAGAUACCCUAGUAGUC